rnacentral:tRNA from 1 species
GCGGGUAUGGUUUAAUGGCAAAACCUCAGCCUUCCAAGCUGGUGAUGUCGGUUCGAUUCCGUCUACCCGCA